UUACGGACAUAUCAAUUUUGAAACACCGGUUCCCGCACGAUCACCAAAGUUAAACAACGUCGAGCAUGGUCAUUACUUAGAUGGGUGACCGAUUGGGAAUAUCAGGUAUU